rnacentral:rRNA from 1 species
UACGUAGGCAGCGAGCGUUGUUCGGAGUUACUGGGCGUAAAGCGUGCGUAGGCGGUGGACCAAGUCUGGUGUGAAAUCUCCCGGCUUAACCGGGAGGGUGCGCCGGAAACUGGUUUGCUGGAGUACCGGAGAGGCAAGCGGAAUUCCAGGUGUAGCGGUGAAAUGCGUAGAUAUCUGGAGGAACACCCGUGGUGCAGACGGCUUGCUGGACGGUGACUGACGCUGAGGCACGAAAGCGUGGGUAGCAAACAGG